UACGUAGGGUGCAAGCGUUAAUCGGAAUUACUGGGCGUAAAGCGUGCGCAGGCGGUGAUGUAAGACAGUUGUGAAAUCCCCGGGCUCAACCUGGGAACUGCAUCUGUGACUGCAUCGCUGGAGUGCGGCAGAGGGGGAUGGAAUUCCGCGUGUAGCAGUGAAAUGCGUAGAUAUGCGGAGGAACACCGAUGGCGAAGGCAAUCCCCUGGGCCUGCACUGACGCUCAUGCACGAAAGC
rnacentral:rRNA from 1 species